rnacentral:lncRNA from 1 species
CCAGAGAGUAAGGAUGACGACGACGACAUCUCCUCAAAUUGCCUGAGACAUUUAAGGUCUAUUAUAUACUCAAAAUAACAUGAUAGCAGGUUCUAAUUUAGGAAAAAAAAGGCAAUAUGUUCUAAUCAGUAACCAGUAGUUGCAGUUGCAGCUCUAGAUCUCUAAUGUCAUGCUACUAAACAAGAACAGGGCAGGGGGAUAUCGAAACUCACCCAAGCAGUACCAAGCUAGCAGCCCUAGAUCUCUAAUGUGAUGCUAGUAUGCUACUAUACAAGAACAGGGCAGGUGGAUAUCGAAACUCACCCAAGCUAGCAGCUCCGUUGCAGGCGGCCUGGGGCAGCUCCUCAAGUCCUCGUCGCUGCUGCGCGGGGGUUCCCUGCUGCGGUCGCGGGUGGUCGUCGCCGGCGAUGGCGGAGGCUGAUCUCGCAGGAGCUCCUCGUCGCGGGGAGGUCGGGCGCACCUCUUCAUUGCCGUCACGGGGGGCUCCCGGUGGGCAUGGCUCCUCGUCGCCGUGAGGCGGCGGCUGGUCGCCGGCAUGCGGCGGC